UCCAUAUCAUAGACUCAAUCCAAGUAUCAAACACACGUAAUAAAAAGGAACCAAUGGCAAAAGCCUAAUAGUACAAUCUUUGACCAAGCCGAAGUAAAUUACAGACACUCUAGCUACUACGAUAAAAAGAUUGCAUACGAUCGACACGAUAUGUGCCCUUCCCUUUCCUCAUGUCAUACCACGAAGAACGAAAAAGGGCAGAGGUAAUAAAAACUUAAUGAGACACGAAGGAACACCGAACAUCUAGCUAGAGAGCCGUCGCUCAACUUCUGUCCGUCGUCUCCGCCGUGCCUCAGGGGAGCUCCUGCCGACCUCGUGCUAGAAUCCAACGGGGCUAACCAACCGAGCUACCUACCUCAAACGGUAUAAUCCAGCGCCAUACUUUAAGUAGACUACACAGCGGCAAAUUCUUUUAAAAAAUGUUGAACAUUUUUAUAAUAUACGUUGAAGAAAAUUUAAAAUACAGAGAACGUUUUUGUAAAAAUAUACUGAACAAAUUAAAAUACUAAAAUGGACAUUUUAUGGGUAUGUGUUGAAUAAUUUUUUAAUAUAUGAUGAACAAAACUUAAAUACACAAUGAACAUUUCCUAAUAUACGUUGAACAAUUUAAUAUUAUACAAUGAACAUUUUUUACUACAUAAAUGAACAUUUUCUAAUAUACAUGAACAAUUUAAUAAUAUACAUUGAACAUUUUCUGUAAUACACAAUGAACAUUUUCUAAAUGUACAUUGAACAAUUUAAUACUCCCUCCGUUCGGAAUUACUUGUCGUAGAAAUGGAUGUAUCUAGAUGUAUUUUAGUUCUAGAUACAUCCAUUUCCGAGACAAGUAAUUCCGAACGGAGGGAGUAUUAUACAAUGAACAUUUUUGUAAUACACAAUGAACAUUUUUACAGUCCAAGGUGAAAAAUACUUCAUAAUAUGCGAUGAGCAUUUUCUUAAUACAUUGAAAAAAUUGUAACACACGGUGGACUUUUUAUAUAAAUACGCAAUAAUGAGAAGAAGAACAGAAACAAAAAAUAAAAAAGGAAGCGUAAAAAAGGAAAAUGAAAGGACAAAAAGGAAUCAAAACAUAAAAAUAAAAAACCGGAACAAAACAACUGGAAACCGGCCAAAACAGUGAAAAAACUGGAAGCAGAAAACCAUAGAAGAAAAAUGAAAAAAAAACCGCCAGAGACAAGGAAACAGCAACGAACGAAAAUCCGAACGUGGGCCGGCCCAAGUGGCGACUUGCUUCAGCGAAAGCUCGUCCUUUUGAUGCCUGCGGGCGUCAAAUAGGAUUUGCCGUGCCUCAGAUCCUCCAGGGCAACCGCAAGCCCCGGAGUCAUUCGCUUCUUCAGCCUCCAUGCUUCUUCCGAGG
rnacentral:lncRNA from 1 species